CAGCCGCCGCGGGAAAACGAAGGGUGCAAGCGUUACUCGGAAUUACUGGGCGUAGAGCGCGCGUAGGUGGUUCGCCAAGUUGGAUGUGAAAUCCCCGGGCUCAACCUGGGAACUGCAUCCAAAACUGGCGAGCUAGAGUAUGGUAGAGGGUGGUGGAAUUUCCUGUGUAGCGGUGAAAUGCGUAGAUAUAGGAAGGAACAUCAGUGGCGAAGGCGACCACCUGGAUUGAUACUGACACUGAGGUGCGAAAGCGUGGGGAGCAAACAGGAUUAGAUACCCCAGUAGUCCCUGUCUCUUAUAU
rnacentral:rRNA from 1 species